rnacentral:ribozyme from 13 species
AAUCGAGAAAAGAAAACAUGAGGUAAAAAUUCACAACGGAAUCUUCUCCCAACAGUUACAGUCUCUUUCAGUUUGCUUGGUUUUUUCUUUUCUUUUUGUUGGUCUUCUCCUUCACCAACUUU